GAUGAACGCUGGCGGCGUGCCUAAUACAUGCAAGUCGAGCGAACGGACGAGAAGCUUGCUUCUCUGAUGUUAGCGGCGGACGGGUGAGUAACACGUGGAUAACCUACCUAUAAGACUGGGAUAACUUCGGGAAACCGGAGCUAAUACCGGAUAAUAUUUUGAACCGCAUGGUUCAAAAGUGAAAGACGGUCUUGCUGUCACUUAUAGAUGGAUCCGCGCUACAUUAGCUAGUUGGUAAGGUAACGGCUUACCAAGGCAACGAUGCAUAGCCGACCUGAGAGGGUGAUCGGCCACACUGGAACUGAGACACGGUCCAGACUCCUACGGGAGGCAGCAGUAGGGAAUCUUCCGCAAUGGGCGAAAGCCUGACGGAGCAACGCCGCGUGAGUGAUGAAGGUCUUCGGAUCGUAAAACUCUGUUAUUAGGGAAGAACAUAUGUGUAAGUAACUGUGCACAUCUUGACGGUACCUAAUCAGAAAGCCACGGCUAACUACGUGCCAGCAGCCGCGGUAAUACGUAGGUGGCAAGCGUUAUCCGGAAUUAUUGGGCGUAAAGCGCGCGUAGGCGGUUUUUUAAGUCUGAUGUGAAAGCCCACGGCUCAACCGUGGAGGGUCAUUGGAAACUGGAAAACUUGAGUGCAGAAGAGGAAAGUGGAAUUCCAUGUGUAGCGGUGAAAUGCGCAGAGAUAUGGAGGAACACCAGUGGCGAAGGCGACUUUCUGGUCUGUAACUGACGCUGAUGUGCGAAAGCGUGGGGAUCAAACAGGAUUAGAUACCCUGGUAGUCCACGCCGUAAACGAUGAGUGCUAAGUGUUAGGGGGUUUCCGCCCCUUAGUGCUGCAGCUAACGCAUUAAGCACUCCGCCUGGGGAGUACGACCGCAAGGUUGAAACUCAAAGGAAUUGACGGGGACCCGCACAAGCGGUGGAGCAUGUGGUUUAAUUCGAAGCAACGCGAAGAACCUUACCAAAUCUUGACAUCCUUUGACAACUCUAGAGAUAGAGCCUUCCCCUUCGGGGGACAAAGUGACAGGUGGUGCAUGGUUGUCGUCAGCUCGUGUCGUGAGAUGUUGGGUUAAGUCCCGCAACGAGCGCAACCCUUAAGCUUAGUUGCCAUCAUUAAGUUGGGCACUCUAAGUUGACUGCCGGUGACAAACCGGAGGAAGGUGGGGAUGACGUCAAAUCAUCAUGCCCCUUAUGAUUUGGGCUACACACGUGCUACAAUGGACAAUACAAAGGGCAGCGAAACCGCGAGGUCAAGCAAAUCCCAUAAAGUUGUUCUCAGUUCGGAUUGUAGUCUGCAACUCGACUACAUGAAGCUGGAAUCGCUAGUAAUCGUAGAUCAGCAUGCUACGGUGAAUACGUUCCCGGGUCU
rnacentral:rRNA from 1 species